rnacentral:rRNA from 1 species
CGUAGGGGGCGAGCGUUGUCCGGAAUUACUGGGCGUAAAGGGCGUGUAGGCGGCCUUUUAAGUCGCAUGUGAAAUCCCCGGGCUCAACCUGGGACCUGCAUUUGUGACUGCAAGGCUAGAGUACGGUAGAGGGGGAUGGAAUUCCGCGUGUAGCAGUGAAAUGCGUAGAUAUGCGGAGGAACACCGAUGGCGAAGGCAAUCCCCUGGACCUGUACUGACGCUCAUGCACGAAAGCGUGGGGAGCAAACAGGAUUAGAUACCCUGGUAGUCCACGCCCUAAACGAUGUCAACUGGUUGUUGGGUCUUUACUGACUCAGUAACGAAGCUAACGCGUGAAGUUGACCGCCUGGGGAGUACGGCCGCAAGGUUG